GACGAACCGAGCGAACGUUAUUCGGAAUCACUGGGCUUAAAGGGCGCGUAGGCGGGCCGUCAAGUCGAGGGUGAAAUCCCCCAGCUCAACUGGGGAAGUGCCUCCGAUACUGGCGGCCUCGAGGGGGAUAGGGGCAUGCGGAACUUCCGGUGGAGCGGUGAAAUGCGUAGAGAUCAGGAAGAACAUCGGUGGCGAAGGCGCUCUGCUGGACCAUAACUGACACUCAGGGACGAAAGCUAGGGGAGCGAAUGGG
rnacentral:rRNA from 1 species